rnacentral:lncRNA from 1 species
AAAGUUUUCUUGGUUUUCAAUUUUAUUCUUCAAUCCAAGUUUAUAUUGUUUUAUUUUUUUAAUUUAGCCCUCAUUCUUUUUAUUUCCUUUUCUUUUUGUUAAUGAUUUUUUAUUUUCAAUUUAACCCUCCAAUUUAAUUUUUUUUGACGCCCUCUAAUUUAUUUUUUAUUUUUAUUUUCACCCACAUUCUUUUAAUUACAAUUUUUAUGUGAUUGAUUUUUUCUGACUUCAUCCUUCUGCAUUUGAUUUGUUAUGGAUUGAGCUUCGUGAUUUUUUCAUUUGUGGUGCUUUCGAUCUAAUGAUACAAAUAACGACUUUGAAGUUAAUGUGGUUCAGUAUCUUUUUU